UGGGGAAUAUUGGACAAUGGGCGCAAGCCUGAUCCAGCAAUGCCGCGUGUGUGAAGAAGGCCUUCGGGUUGUAAAGCACUUUUAUCAGGAGCGAAACGCUGUCGGCUAAUACCCGGCGGAACUGACGGUACCUGAGGAAUAAGCACCGGCUAACUUCGUGCCAGCAGCCGCGGUAAUACGAAGGGUGCAAGCGUUAAUCGGAAUUACUGGGCGUAAAGCGUGCGUAGGCGGUUUCUUAAGUCUGCUGUGAAAUCCCCGGGCUCAACCUGGGAAUGGCAGUGGAUACUGGGAGGCUAGAGUGUGUCAGAGGGUGGUGGAAUUCCCGGUGUAGCGGUGAAAUGCGUAGAGAUCGGGAGGAACAUCAGUGGCGAAGGCGGCCACCUGGGACAACACUGACGCUGAGGCACGAAAGCGUGGGGAGCAAACAGGAUUAGAUACCCUGGUAGUCCACGCCCUAAACGAUGCGAACUGGAUGUGGUCUCAACUCGGAGAUCAGUGUCGAAGCUAACGCGUUAAGUUCGCCGCCUGGGGAGUACGGUCGCAAGACU
rnacentral:rRNA from 1 species